GAACCAGUCUCAGAAUCAACCUGUGCAAGCCUUGGAAAGGUUGGAAACGAAGGAGUGUCGUGGAGUGGUGCCUUUGAUGAGGAGGCAUCUGCAAAGUCUUUUCAGGAAGCUUUGCUUCUGGGGUCCCAUCAGAACCUGUGGGGAUUUGUGAGGUGCAGACCAAUGUUACUGCUCUGAAGGAACCCAUCCAUGUGGAAUUCCAGAAGGAUGGCCUGAGCUACAUGGAGAAACUCCUGCUGAAGAAAUACAGGAGGACACCUGUUGAUCAAUUUUUUGCAAGUUGCAUGAAAGAUUCAAGGCCUGUGCAAUCCCCGAGUGUUCAUCAGGCUGGAGAAGGGGGACAAGGAGAUGAUGAUGAUGAUGACAUUGAAGAGUUAACAGAUGAAGAGGUGAAGAAAUACUGGGCAUCUGUUUAUAGAGGUGAAGAAUCCAACACUGUUUCUGCAAAUGCUGAGACAUCUUUGAAAAUUGAGUUCCUUGAUGAUUCUCAUAGCAAAGACUUGGAAGAAUCUUCAGACCCUCCAGUGGUUCUAACUGGAGCUGUGGGGAUGAGUAAGCAAGGAAAAACUGACCCACUGGAGUGUGAAAGCAAUCCUGUUUCUCCUAAAGAAACUUUUCAAGAAAAACUGAUUGUCUGCAGUGAUCUUGAAAUAAAUGCAGUGCAGGAGGAGAGUAUUGAACCAAAGGCUAGGAGAAGAUCACUGAGCUCCUGUGAACCUCCUGAGGAGAUCUCUGCCCCCACUGAAGGAGGGAGCAAAGAGCUCAUUGGGACUGAGCUGAAGAGCAGCAGAGAUCUCCUGGAGACAGAACUGCAGCACAGCAGGAGAGAGCCACAAGAACCAGGCAGUGCCUGCAAUACUCAGAGUUUGGUCUUGCCUGUAAUUACAAAAUCUUCAGCAUUACAGGAUGUAGCCAAAAGACAGAAAUGUGGUUCUACAUCAUAUCAAGGGCUUGAAGGUUUCUUUGUUAUAGGAACAAACCUUAAACAGGGAAAGCUGGAGGCACCUUCUUCCCUGGCUGCUGCCUCCAGCCCUAGGGACAGGAGGAUCCCUUCUCCAGGAGAUGGGCAGUGGGUUUCUGAAAGGAGCUUAGGUGAAUAUGCUGAUGAUUCUAUAGUUCAAGGUGUCUUGGAAAGUCAACUGAACAGGGCUGCAAAUGCUUUCCAGGCUCAAAAUCAACUUUCUUCUCUGAUGGCAGCAUGGAUGCCAUGGCCAGGCCCUGAAAAUCAUUCCAACUUAACUUGUGAAGAUGGAACCUCCUCCAGCAGAGCCUGGGAGAAGAUCUUUGGAAAUGCAGAUUUCCAGGACACCCUGAAGCUGAAAGACCAUGAAAAAUUUAAUAUUUUUGGGGACUGGGAGGAAAGCCAAAUGGAUGAUGAGGAAACAAUUCUGGAGGACAAACAGCAGGUUCUGGCAUUGCAGUGAACAUGGAAAACUCAGCUCAGUCUCCACCUUUGUUAGGUUCAGAACCAAGAAGAUCCAAGAGGUGUUUUAAAUGUUGCUCAAGACAUCAUUUACAAAGGAAUAUUCUGUAAACUUGUCAUUAAAACUUCUUGAAAAUACUUUGAGUUGGCUUUUUUUUUUGUUUUUGCUAUGAAGAAAUAACAGAAUAAAAGAAAACUGCUCUUGUGCUGCUUGUUUUUA
ensembl:lncRNA